GAUGAAGAACGUAGCGAAACGCGAUAGUUAAUGUGAAUUGCAGAAUUCAGUGAAUCAUCGAGUCUUUGAACGCACAUUGCGCCCAUUGGUAUUCCGUUGGGCAUGUCUGUUUGAGCGUCAUUACAACAGUUCAGCGUAAGCUGGUUAUGAGUUCUGUUUUUUUAAACAAAAAACAGGCUUUAAAAUGUAUGUUCUGCAGGUCGCUUUGCUAAACCCUAAACAUUAAAUACUGUUCUAGUGAAGCAUUUGCGACUCUGGCUGAAAAAAAAACUUUUGUUAAAGUUUGACCUCAGAUCAGACAAGGAUACCCGCUGAACUUAAGCAUAUCAAUAAGCGGAGGA
rnacentral:misc_RNA from 1 species